GAACUUUAAAGUGGAGGUCCUUAAGCGGUAAUUGGACCGUUAGUAUGUUAGUGGAUGACAAUGGCUUGGCAAUUUUGUAAAUUAAAUUAUUUUUUAAGGUUAAUUAAGUAAAUAGAUAAAUAAUGAUAAAAACUAAUGAAAUAAAUUAUGCUAUCAUCUUUUGUUCAUCAUCAUCAAUCGAAAAUUAGGUUUUGGGAAGCCAUUUUUAUGCCCAAACUUUCGGUAACUUCAUUUGGCUAUUAGGUAAGUGAUUUUUGUCCUGUUUUUAAUGAUUUUUAUGUUUU
rnacentral:lncRNA from 1 species